rnacentral:rRNA from 1 species
GGGCCCGCACAAGCGGUGGAGCAUGUGGUUUAAUUCGACGCAACGCGAAGAACCUUACCAGGGUUUGACAUCCUGCGAAUCUCUUGGAAACAGGAGAGUGCCUUCGGGAACGCAGUGACAGGUGGUGCAUGGCUGUCGUCAGCUCGUGUCGUGAGAUGUUGGUUAAGUCCCGCAACGAGCGCAACCCACGUCUUUAGUUGCCAGCAUUUAGUUGGGCACUCUAGAGAGACUGCCGGUGAUAAACCGGAGGAAGGUGUGGAUGACGUCAAGUCAUCAUGCCCCUUACAUCCUGGGCUACACACGUACUACAAUGCUACGGACAAAGGGCUGCAAUUCGCGAGGAC